rnacentral:rRNA from 1 species
AGCGCACACAAGGGAUGCCUUGACAUACAAUACCGAUGAAGGACGUAAGGAGCUGCGAUAAGCUUCGGGGAGCUGCUAACUAAGCUUUGAUCCGGAGAUGUCCGAAUGGGGAAACCCGGCUGGAGUCAUGUCCAGUCACCGCUAUCUGAAUAUAUAGGAUAGUGUGCAGGUUACCGCCUGAACUGAAACAUCUUAGUAGGGCGAGGAAGAGAAAGUAAACAACGAUUCCGUUAGUAGUGGCGAGCGAAUGCGGAUGAGCCCAAACUUUUUAAGUUUCCGUCUGGUAACAGAUGGAUAAGUUGGUAGACGAAUAUUUAAAAGGGGUUGUGACAUAACAAACAACCAGUACGGAGCCCUGGUGUAAACCAGUUUUCCGUAUUGGAAGCAAGAGCUACCAUUCUCUUGCAUAAGGUCUACAAAUUGGCGAGGCGAGCAGAAGUAGUUGGAAAGCUACACCAAAGACAGUGAUAGUCUGGUACGCAAAGUUUCGCUAACCUUAUAUUUGUUUUGUCGAGUAGGUCGGGACACGUGAAACCCUGACUGAAUCUAGGGGGUCCACCCCCUAAGGCUAAAUAUAUUGUAUGAUCGAUAGAGAACAAGUACCGUGAGGGAAAGGUUAAAAGAACCCAGGAAUGGGAGUGAAAUAGAACCUGAAAUUGUGUGCGUACAAGGAGUCGGAGCCCUCUUGUAGGGUGACGGCGUGCUUUUUGUAGAACGAUCCAGCGAGUUAUUGGCUGCUGCAAGCAUAAGACAUCUGUCGGAUGCAAAGCGAAAGCGAGUCUGAAUAGGGCGAACAUAGUAGUAGUCAAUAGACCCGAAACCGGGUGACCUAACCAUGGGCAGGCUGAAGCGCAGGUAAAACUGUGUGGAGGGCCGAACCGUAGCGAAUUGCAAAACGCCCGGAUGACCUGUGGUUAGAGGUGAAAUGCCAAUCGAACUCGGAGAUAGCUGGUUCUCCUCGAAAUAGCUUUAGGGCUAGCGUUGUACGGUAGCUGAUAGGGGUAGAGCUCUGUUUUGGACUGGGGGCCGCAAGGUUACUCACCCUUGACAAACUACGAAUACUAUCAGUGGAACUACAGCAGUCAGAACGUCGGGGCUAAGCUCGGCGCUCGAAAGGGAAACAGCCCAGACCACCAUCUAAGGUCCCCAAGUCUAUGCUAAGUGGGAAACGAGGUGGGAUUUCUUAAACAAUGAGGAUGUUGGCUUAGAAGCAGCCAUUCAUUUAAAGAGUGCGUAACAGCUCACUCAUCAAGAGAUCCUGCGCGGAAAAUGUAACGGGGCUAAGCAUAGCACCGAAGAUGUGGACUCUAGUUUUACUAGAGUGGUAGAGGAGCGUUGAUAUUGCACUGAAGCUGGACUGUGAGGUCUGGUGGAGCGGUAUCAAGUGAGAAUGCUGGAAUGAGUAACCAUAAGGCAGGUGAGAAUCCUGCCCACCGAAAGAGCAAGGUUUCCUGGGCAACGGUAAUCGUCCCAGGGUUAGUCGGUCCUAAGCCGAGGCAAUGUAGCGUAGGCGAUGGACAACGGGUUAAUAUUCCCGUACUAGUGUUAUAUUGUUUGGCGUGCGCGGCAUAUUAGUCGAGGCGGAUUCAUGGUUAUAUCCGUCUAAGUAGCAGAAAUGGCUACGAAUGAAACGAUCCUUUCGAUCGAAUCUCGAUGAAGGUGCUGACUAGAAAAGCUACCAAACGCGUGUGUAAUGCUAUCCGUACCGCAAACCGACACAGGUGCUCAGGUCGAGUAGACCAAGGUGUACGAGUGAUUCUUCGUCAAGGAACUCGGCAAACAAGUGGCCGUAACUUCGGAAUAAGGCCUGCCCCCUCACUGUGUUAAUCACGGUCGAGGAAAUUGAAUGCCAGUUUUCUUUUCAGAAAACAGAACAGUAGCGUACAUAAGUUUUUAACUUCUUAUAUACGCCUGUAUAAACGAGCAAAAUUGAGACAUAUCGAGAAAAGAAAGCUGACCCUAACUACUCCUGUAUCGUGGUUGAUAGAGUGAGGGGGCCGCAGCUAAGGAGCCCAUGCAACUGUUUACCAAAAACAUAGGUCUGUGCUAACACGAAAGUGGAUGUAUACGGGCUGACGCCUGCCCAGUGCUGGAAGGUUAAGGGGAGAAGUUUACGCUUUGAACUGAAGCCCCAGUGAACGGCGGCGGUAACUAUGACCGUCCUAAGGUAGCGAAAUUCCUUGUCAGGUAAGUUCUGACCCGCACGAAUGGCGUAAUGAUAUGGGUACUGUCUCGACGAAGAGCUCGGUGAAAGUGCAUUGACGGUAAAGAUGCCGUCUGUCCGCAGCAGGACGAAAAGACCCCGUGGAGCUUUACUACAGCUUGACAUUGAAUCGGGCUAUAACAUGUGUAGCAUAGGUGGGAGACUUUGACGCUUAGGCGCUAGCCUAGGUUGAGUCACCGGUGAAAUACCACCCUUGUUAUGGUUUGAUUCUCACCGUGUCCAUCAGUUGUUAUCGACGCGUUCGAUGGCAGUUGCUGGAUACGGGACCGUGUCUGGUGGGUAGUUUAACUGGGGCGGUUGCCUCCUAAAGAGUAUCGGAGGCGUUCAAAGGUUGGCUAGGUUCGGAUGGAAAUCGAAUCGAUAGUGUAUACGCAGAAGCCAGCUUGACUGUGAGGCCUACAAGCCGAGCAGACACGAAAGUGGGAGUAAGUUUUCCGCUGUCCGUACAUUUUUGUACAUGAGAGUGGUAUCGGCAGCGCUUUCGGAUAAAAGUUACCCCGGGGAUAACAGGCUUAUAGCGCCCAAUAGUUCACAUAGACGGCGCUGUUUGGCACCUCGAUGUCGGCUCAUCUCAUCCUGGAGGGGGAGCACCUUCCAAGGGUCCGGCUGUUCGCCGGUUAAAGAGGUACGUGAGCUGGGUUCAGAACGUCGUGAGACAGUUCGGUUUAUAUCCGCUGUGGACGCAAGGAAAUUUGAGAGGAUUUGUCCCUAGUACGAGAGGACCGGGAUGAACGCACCGCUGGUGUACCAAUUGUCAUACCAAUGGCAUGGUUGGGUAGCUAUGUGCGGAGCAGAUAAACGCUGAAAGCAUAUUAAGCGUGAAACUGACCUCAAGAUUAGAUUUCCCUAUGAGGACCCUGAAAGACUAUCAGGUUGAUAGGCGCAAGGUGGAAGUGCAGUAAUGUAUGUAGCUGAAGCGUACUAAUAGUCCCAUCGACUUUUUA